ACUAUCAACUGAGUUGACGUUUCUAACUUUGGACAGACACAAAGAGUUGAAUGAUAUACGCUCAUUGCCCUGCUUUAGUCAGCAAAAAACAAUUCAGUCUCAAGUAGACCCAAAUCUUUUAUAACCAGAAAGAGAAAAUAAAUUAUAAGUUAUAACCUAAAUUAGAGAUGGGCAAACCUAUCUUCUUUUUGUUAAAUCAGUUUUCUUUCAGAGCAUUUUUUUAAUUGAUCAUCGAGAGAAGCAUAUAAGUCGAACUAGAGUAAUAUUCGUUUCUUCAAUUUAAGUUAUUACUAGCCAAACCUAGUCGAAAAAGAAAACACAAAAAAACAACUAAUAAAACUUAAAUACUUCUUUUUUGCAUCUAAAGUAUUUAUCCCUAAUCAAAAUAACUACAUAUUUGUUUUAAAAUAAAUACAAGUUUCUAUUGUUCGUAAAUUUGAUAUACAGUAUAUAGUUUUUUUUUUUUUUUGUAAGCUACUAUAUAGUAUUAUGUAAUUGUUACUCGAGCCUCUGCCGAUUCAAGAUGUACCUCACGGAUCCUGUUAUAAGGCACGAGUACAACUCAUAAAUAAUACACAACAAAAAAUGAUCAAUGAUCUCCAGACAAUAUUACAAAACUUCCAAGAAAAAAUAAUUUAGUUUUCAAAAAAAGAAGAAAUAAUUAAGAUGACAGCAGCUUGAGCUUAGAGGGGACCCAAUCAUUGAACAAGCAAAUGCAAAAAAAGGAGAAUAGAAGAAAAGUACGACCGUAUAUCGACAGUCAGUUUAAUGGUUGAUGAUGAGAUCAUAUUAAACUCUCAAGUGGGAGUACUUGAUAGUUGAUUCUCACAACGUGCCUUGUCCUCUGAGUUUUAUUUUUGUUUGUUCAAAGUCCUCCGAGUCUCUUCUAAAAUUUUCUAUUAUUUCACUAAAUUAAAUUUUGUACUCACUCUCUCUCUCUCUCUAAAAUUCUUAACAUGCUCAAAGUUUGGGAAACAUCUUAAUCAAGAGAUGGCCUCACUCAACUCUGCAAACCUAACAUGUCCCUUUGAGGUAAACUCAGCUAAGAUUCAUCAUUCCACACUAACUUGUGCUUCACCUUACCAGGGUUUCUAAACCAAAACUCAAGACUUACACACACC
rnacentral:lncRNA from 1 species